GUGCCACACCGCGGUAAUACUAGUGGAAGGUUGUCCGGAAUUAUUGGGCGUAAAGCGCGCGCAGGUGGUUUCUUAAGUCUGAUGUGAAAGCCCACGGCUCAACCGUGGAGGGUCAUUGGAAACUGGGAGACUUGAGUGCAGAAGAGGAUAGUGGAAUUCCAAGUGUAGCGGUGAAAUGCGUAGAGAUUUGGAGGAACACCAGUGGCGAAGGCGACUAUCUGGUCUGUAACUGACACUGAGGCGCGAAAGCGUGGGGAGCAAACAGGAUUAGAUACCCUGGUAGUCC
rnacentral:rRNA from 1 species